UACGUAGGGGGCGAGCGUUGUCCGGGGUUACUGGGCGUAAAGGGCGCGCAGGCGGUCUGGCAAGUUUGGAGUGACAGUGCUCGGCUUAACUGAGCAAGGCCUUCAAAAACUGCUGGACUUGAGCACUCAAGAGGGACAUAGAAUUCCGGGUGGAGUGGUGAAAUGCGUAGAUAUCCGGAGGAAUACCAAAGGCGAAGGCAGUGUCCUGGGGAGUGUCUGACGCUCAGGCGCGAAAGCUAGGGGAGCGAACAGG
rnacentral:rRNA from 1 species